AUGUUGCUAUCAACUGGUGAUGUUUAUCAUAUAUACUCUUACAAUCCAUUUCUUUUCUCUUCUGCUUUCUUGCCUACUAUAACAGCAAAGAUGAUCUGUGUUGAGGACGAGUGUCUAGCUGUAGUAGAUAUCUCUUCUCCGUUCCAUUCUUCGGUUCUUCGCUCAUCUCGAUCGACCCCCGCUACAUGCUGGCCUGUACUGCCUUACGCUCAGCGGCUCAGGAGGUGUUGCUCGUUUGCACUUGUUGCUGGUGAUGAUACGCCCAUCCAUUUCCACUUAUCUGCUGGACAUACAGAUCCUUUACCUGGAGUGAACAAACGUCCUUACAUCUUCUGCCGCCAAGGAAUCAUCUCGAGUGAAUCUGAAGCUUGA
rnacentral:rRNA from 1 species